GUUUAUCAAAAACAUGUCUUUNUAGAUUUUAUUGAAAGUCUAGCCUGCCCACUGAANNNNUUUAAAUGGCCGCAGUAUAUUAACUGUGCAAAGGUAGCAUAAUCAUUAGUCUUUUAAUUGAAGGCUGGAAUGAACGGUUGGAUGAAAUAUAAACUGUCUUAUUAAAAUUAAUAAUAAAAUUUAAUAUUUAAGUAAAAAAGCUUAAAUUGAAUUAAAAGACGAGAAGACCCUAUAAAUCUUUAUAUUUUAUUGGGGUGAUAUUAAUAUUUAAUGAACUUUUAAUUUAUAAUUAACAUUAAUUAAUGAAUAUAUGAUCCUUNNNNNAAGAUUAAAAAAUUAAGUUACUUUAGGGAUAACAGCGUAAUUUUUUUGGAGAGUUCAAAUUGAUAAAAAAGANUGCGACCUCGAUGU
rnacentral:rRNA from 1 species